GGGUUCUCUGCUUCUACUAAAUAGUGAUAUUGAAACAAUCAGUUUCAUCUAAAGUUAUCUAUCCAGUGAGCAGCGUGUGGUUGUGGGUUGAACACCUCCAUAGUGGUCAUGGACGCUCCCUAUUCAAAUAGAGUGGUGUAUAAACAGCAUGUUCUUGGCUGCUCUAGUUUCCAGUGAGCUCUGUGAGAGAUAACACUCCCAUACACUUUAAAUCUGGGUGAAGCAGAACUCAGAGAAGGAUGAUUUUAGGACAGUGUAUUUUAUUGCUACUCAUUUCAUAUUCUUAUGGACAGUCCCUGACCUCUUCUGAUUCUGUGGUGAAGAGACCUGGAGACUCGGUCACUCUGUCCUGUACUGUCUCCGGAUUCUCAAUGGGCUACAACAUGCACUGGAUCCGUCAGAAACCAGGACAAGGACUGGAGUGGAUCGGGCGCAUUGAUGGUGGCACUGGCACAAUAUUCUCUCAGUCUCUACAGGGCCAGUUCUCCAUCAGUAAAGACACCAAUAAAAACUUGCUGUACCUAGAAGUGAAGAGUCUGAAAGCUGAAGACACGGCAGUUUAUUACUGUGCACGAGGGUCACACUGA